GCACACGAGGGGGAGAAAGCGUUUGAGAGGCUCGCUCAUUACAACAGACGGCCCCAGCGAAACAGGCAGGCACAGUGGCAGACUGUUUUAAUUUAUUACAGGAACCAUGAGGAUAAUGCACUUUUCUAUUUGUGCUUUUAUCCGCCCCAACAAUAGGACGUUUUGAUUGAGGUGAACAGGUAGAACGUGGCAAUACAAUUUUUUUUACUUGCACAGCCUAGACAAAGGGUCACAAAAUGCCAGAAGACGGUUGCUGACUGCAAGACCACCUGUCAAGACCUGCAGUUACCUGUGGGGGCCCUACUGAACCAGCAAGCAAAGACAUCAGGAUGCAUUACAGCUUUGAUUUUGCUCAACAAGUGCACUAGCCUGCAGCCAGGUCCCAUCUACUUCUUUACUCCUCGGAAGUGUGGCUUGUUUGGUGUCUGCUGUGAAGGAAUACCACAACAAGUCAACUACUUGAUUGAUGAAGGCAUGUUGUCCAGCAAAGUGAAGGACAGCACUCUGACAGGGGUCAACAUCCCACAGCUGGUUGGACUGGAGGAUGGUACGGUGCUGGUGGAAAGCCAUAGCUGAAAACAACACCUGACUCUCUACUUCAGGCCGCUGCUACAGAUCUUUUCGGCGCCGACUGAGAUGGCCGCCUCGCUUCGCGUUCCUAGGAAACUAUGCAGUUUUUUGUUUUUUUACGUGUUAUUUCUUACAUUAGUACCCCAGGUCAUCUUAGGUUUCAUUACAUACAGUCGAGAAGAACUACUGAAUAUAAGAUCAGCGCCAACUCACCAUCAGUACGACCAAGAAUAUGUUUUCCGCGAUGCGGAUCCGGUGUUCUGCCUUACAAACAGGACAACGGAAUGGAUCGCAUGCAGCGACCCAAGGAAACGACUCCGAAAAAGAGGGAAACGAGGCGGUGUUCUGGUCAGACUCCGAAAAAGGGCACAUCGCGCACCACUCCCCAGCAUUCUUCUUGCCAAUGUCCAGUCUCUUGACAACAAGGUUGACGAAAUCCGAGCAAGGGUAGCAUUCCAGAGGGACAUCAGAGACUGCAACGUUCUCUGCUUCACAGAAACAUGGCUUACUGGGAAGACGCUAUCCGAUGCGGUGCAGCCAACGGGUUUCUCCACGCAUCGCGCCGACAGAAACAAACAUCUUUCUGCUUUGAUGCUCUGGAACCUGGUGUUGUCGGCAAGGAGCGUUCGGACUCAGUCAGGACCAGGUUUCAGCAGCUGUGCAACGCUGACAUCCUUCCUCCCAUAGAUGGUCUGCCUGUACAAGCACCACCUGGACUGGACACAGCUAGACAAACAUAUAUUUUUGAGAAGAUAAGGGAGUUUUGUUACAAAGAGACUAUGGACGUCACAUGCCCUGCAACAAAGUCAAGGGCAGGACAGAAACAGGCUCUCCGAAUAUAGAUUCCCUUGUUCAUGCAUGGUUCGGACAGACCAGUCAUGUUUUACUUUUACUUCACUACAUUCUGAAUAGAAAUAUGUAUUUUUUACUCCAUGCAUUUUCCUGACACCGAAAGUACUUGCUACAUUUUGACAGGAAAAUUGUUCAAUUCACACACUAAUCAAUAGAACAUCCCUGGCCAUCCCUACUGCAUCUGAUCUGGCAGACUCACUAAACACAAGUCCUUUGUUUGUAAAUUACGUAAUAAAGAA